rnacentral:rRNA from 1 species
UACGUAGGGGGCAAGCGUUAUCCGGAUUUACUGGGUGUAAAGGGAGCGUAGACGGCUUUGCAAGCCAGAUGUGAAAGCCCGGGGCUCAACCCCGGGACUGCAUUUGGAACUGUGAGGCUAGAGUGUCGGAGAGGCAGGCGGAAUUCCUAGUGUAGCGGUGAAAUGCGUAGAUAUUAGGAGGAACACCAGUGGCGAAGGCGGCCUGCUGGACGAUGACUGACGUUGAGGCUCGAAAGCGUGGGGAGCAAACAGG